CCUGGCUAAGGUCCUUACAGGCCUUUCAGAGGUUCCAAGUGUCUUGCUGAUUCACUUCUGCUAAAACUUGGUCUGCUCAACAUGAACUUGAAAAGAGUAAUCAGUUUUGCAGUUGUUGAUUGUGCAUCUACUCAAUUCCUCUAUUUUAAGAGUGCUGUGAAAGCUGUAACGCGUCAGCUGUGAAUGAACCUGGAUGGAGCCAGAAGGCAAAGGACUGAAAGGGCUCUUAUUUGAAAGUAACAUGAAGCCAGGUCUUCAGGGCCACUGACAGGCAAAGCACCGCAUUUGGUGAAGGCACCAAAUUCUCUUCUCUUCUGAGUUCUUGCAUGUUCUUGAGCAAGCUGUCUGCCUGCUGCUAUGUUACUGACCUGCAGUGUAGGUCUCGUGUGUACUUUUUACAUGUAGUUUCCAGUAAUAGUAAACAGAGAUAUGCGAAGACAUUGAAUAUUUUUCUCUAUGCAAAAUAGCUGGAACUUCUUAAUUUGCAAAGUAUUUUGUUCUUUACUGCUUGUACGUGCAUUUUGGUGUUGAAGAAUUAAGAUGUACUGUAGAGUUCCUGAGGAAUGCUUGUAAUUAACAGUUUGACUUUAAAUCACAGCGUGCUGGGCAUAAUUAGCAUUCAAUAUUUCCGUAUGAUUAAAAAUAGAAGACAAAACUAAAGAUUUUGAAUGUUUUUAGCAUUGAAUCCCCUGGUUUAGAGAACUGAAAUAUUGUCUUUUGGCUGGAUAACUGAUCUGUGCAAGCAGUGUGGUUGUAAGCAUCUGCAGUUCUGUAGCAAUGUGUAGCAUGCUGCAGAACAGUCAAGAUAGUGCUUUCUUGAUAGCUUUUCAAUAAAGGAGAGUCUAAAGAAAUCAGUAUAUUUUCCUGCUCAAGUGGUGGAUAUAAUCAGGUCAAAAUGUAGAGCAAAAGGAAAUCAUCUUGAUUGUGAAUAGUAAAUCUCUUUUACCACGUUUUCUCAAAGAAAAUGAGUUCAGCGUAAUUAUAUUAAGUGUUAUUUCUUUGAGGCAUAAGAAAUAGUACUAUACAGCAAAAAGAAAUCUUGGUCUGGAUAUUUAAGAUCAAUUUAUCAGAAAAAAACUGGUGGAGGGCUGGUUGGGCUGCCUAUCCUUGCUUGACCUGCAUGUGCUGUAGAUUAGUACCCCAAAUUCAGCACUUCUAUUAACAUGUUCCUUUUUCAUUUAAAAAACAAUAGACAGGAGCUUGGUUUGCUCUUACUGAAUCUCUUCUUGUUCAGCUCUUUUUUGCUGUUUACUGGGCUGUUCAGAGGCACUGCGAAAAUGAAGCCAGUGAGAUACAUUUGAGUCAGUAGAUAUGACUCAAAUAUUCCAGUAUUUUCAGAGAUAUUCUUAAAUACCUGGCUGUGCGCUACUGCUUUUUGCUUUGAGGCAUAAAUCGAUUACUGCAGAAAUCAGAAGAGUGUUCUCUUUAGAAUCUCUGCCCACUGCUGUAGGGAAAUGAACUGGACAGACAUAAUAUGGCAGAUAAUUUUUUUUUACUCUAAUUUUUCUGUUAAUGUAAAGUUUAUUCCGAAUGCAAUUACAAAUUAGCAAGUACAUAUUCAUUCUAAUUGCAUUUAUGGGACUACUUAAUCUUCAUAAAGACAUCAAGUCUGCACAAUGUCUGUGUCGUAAGCAGUGACUCAUCAAGAGGAGGAAAAGACAGAUCUUUCUGGUGCUCUGUAAGGGAGUAAAUGGGUCUAACGAGGUAGUGGAUCUUUAAUUUUAAAAUUAGUCUCCUUUGCAGAGUAUCUUAAAAACCACUGCUUCAUUCUGACAUUAGAUUGGAAAUAAUAUCUAAUAAUUUAUUAUCAAAAUACUUGGAAAAGUUUUGUUUGUCAUAUAGCUGAACUUCAGGGCUUUUUCAAGCAGUCUUACAGUAUGUACUUAUUUUUCCUGUAACUAAAUAUAUUUUGAGAGAAGAGGAUGUGCAUAAAGGAGAAGAAUAAACACCUUGCUGCAGCUAAUAUAGCAUGAUGUAUAACAAAUUGUUUUUACAAUUUCAUGUUAGUAUUUAUAAAGACGUCUCUUACCACUAAGAUGUACCAAAAAAAACCUCAUACUGAUCAUGAAUCUUCCUUGAUUCAUGAUGAGAAAACUGCAAGAUGCUUCCAAACAAGCUUGAAGCUAGUUCUGUUGGGUCUUCAUUAUUGCUUGUGUCAACUGAUGGCUAGCCUUUUUGUUCUUCUGGAUCUAAUAUUUAAAGAUGUGCUUGUACACUGCUAGCACCUUGAGCAGGAACCAUGCGGGUGAUGCUAAGAUACUGUAUCAAGAGGCAAUCCACUUCUUAGCAAGAGUAAAAAAGUAGUAUGGCCAUCAGAUGAAGAAGUAGAUCUGCUCUGUGAUUAACUAACGCAGUGCUUUUCUCUAUAUCUGAGCACGCAAACUGAAAUCCUCCUGCUGUGAAUGAGGAAAACAUGCAUGCUUUACAAGAGGGACACUUUUACAAAGGCUAUUCCUGGAGGGCUCAUCCCUGCUCAGGGAUGUAACUUAGACUGUCCAGGUAGCAGUAUACUUCAGUCAAAGCGUUAAAUAGAGGGUUUAAAUACUUUUUUUCAUUGAGCCAAAUCACACUGGCACAUUUUACCACAAAGCUUAAGAGAUACUGUCUCAGUAGCUGUGGUAUUGCCUCUGGAUUGGUAGAAGACAAGACAG